AGAAAGUCCCGGCUAACUACGUGCCAGCAGCCGCGGUAAUACGUAGGGGACAAGCGUUGUCCGGAUUUACUGGGCGUAAAGGGCACGCAGGCGGUUUUUUAAGUCUGAUGUGAAAGCCCCCGGCUUAACCGGGGAGGGUCAUUGGAAACUGGGAGACUUGAGUGCAGAAGAGGAGAGUGGAAUUCCAUGUGUAGCGGUGAAAUGCGUAGAUAUAUGGAGGAACACCAGUGGCGAAGGCGGCUCUCUGGUCUGUAACUGACGCUGAGGCUCGAAAGCGUGGGGAGCAAACAGGAUUAGAUACCCUGGUAGUCCACGCCGUAAACGAUGAGUGCUAAGUGUUGGAGGGUUUCCGCCCUUCAGUGCUGCAGCUAACGCAUUAAGCACUCCGCCUGGGGAGUACGACCGCAAGGUUGAAACUCAAAGGAAUUGACGG
rnacentral:rRNA from 1 species